rnacentral:rRNA from 1 species
UACGUAGGGGGCAAGCGUUGUCCGGAUUUAUUGGGCGUAAAGAGCGUGUAGGCGGUCAGGUAGGUCCGUUGUGAAAACCCGAGGCUCAACCUCGGGCCUGCAGCCGAUACGGGCAGACUAGAGUUCGGCAGGGGAGACUGGAAUUCCUGGUGUAGCGGUGAAAUGCGCAGAUAUCAGGAGGAACACCGGUGGCGAAGGCGGGUCUCUGGGCCGAUACUGACGCUGAGGAGCGAAAGCGUGGGGAGCGAACAGG